rnacentral:rRNA from 1 species
GAGACCUCAGGUCAGGCGGGGCUACCCGCUGAGGUUAAGCAUAUCAAUAAGCGGAGGA